rnacentral:rRNA from 1 species
AUAGCGUAUAUUAAAGUUGUUGCGGUUAAAAAGCUCGUAGUUGGAUUCCUGUUGAGGAUGGCCGGUCCGCACUAUGUGCGUGUAUCUGGCUCAGCCUUGGCAUCCUCUUGAGGAACGUAUCUACGCUUGAUUGCGUGGAGCGGUAUUCAAGACUUUUACUUUGAGGAAAUUAGAGUGUUCACGGCAGGCAAGCGCCCUGAAUAUAUUAGCAUGGAAUAAUAAUAUAGGAUCUUGGUUCUAUUUUGUUGGUUUCUAGAGCUAAGGUAAUGAUUAAUAGGGAUAAUUGGGGGCAUUUGUAUUAACGCGUCAGAGGUGGAAUUCUUGGAUUGCGUUACGACAAACUACUGCGAAAGCAUUUGCCAAGGAUGUUUUCAUUGAUCAAGAACGAAAGUAUGGGGAUCGAAGAUGAUUAGAUACCGUCGUAGUCUAUACCAUAAACUAUGCCGACUAGGGAUUGGAGGUCGUUCUUUUUAUGACUCCUUCAGCACCUUAUGAGAAAUCAAAGUCUUUGGGUUCCGGGGGGAGUAUAGUCGCAAGGCUGAAACUUAAAGGAAUUGACGGAAGGGCACCACCAGGAGUGGAGCCUGCGGCUUAAUUUGACUCAACACGGGGAAACUCACCAGGUCCAGACAUAGUAAGGAUUGACAGAUUGAUAGCUCUUUCCUGAUUCUAUGGGUGGUGGUGCAUGGCCGUUCUUAGUUGGUGGAGUGAUUUGUCUGGUUUAUUUCGAUAACGAACGAGAUCUUAACCUGCUAAAUAGUGAUAAGUAUCUCCGGAUAUUUAAACACUUCUUAGAGGGACUUUGUGGUUUCAACUGCAAGGAAGUUUGAGGCAAUAACAGGUCUGUGAUGCCCUUAGAUGUUCUGGGCUGCACGCGCGCUACACUGAUGCGUUCAACGAGUUUAUAACCUUGCCCGGUAAGGGUUGGGUAAUCUUUUGAAACGCAUCGUGAUGGGGAUAGAUUAUUGUAAUUAUUAAUCU